rnacentral:rRNA from 1 species
GAUGAACGCUGGCGGCGUGCCUAAUACAUGCAAGUCGAGCGAACAGACGAGGAGCUUGCUCCUCUGACGUUAGCGGCGGACGGGUGAGUAACACGUGGAUAACCUACCUAUAAGACUGGGAUAACUUCGGGAAACCGGAGCUAAUACCGGAUAAUAUAUUGAACCGCAUGGUUCAAUAGUGAAAGACGGUUUUGCUGUCACUUAUAGAUGGAUCCGCGCCGCAUUAGCUAGUUGGUAAGGUAACGGCUUACCAAGGCAACGAUGCGUAGCCGACCUGAGAGGGUGAUCGGCCACACUGGAACUGAGACACGGUCCAGACGCCUAAGGGAGGCAGCAGUAGGGAAUCUUCCGCAAUGGGCGAAAGCCUGACGGAGCAACGCCGCGUGAGUGAUGAAGGUCUUCGGAUCGUAAAACUCUGUUAUUAGGGAAGAACAAAUGUGUAAGUAACUAUGCACGUCUUGACGGUACCUAAUCAGAAAGCCACGGCUAACUACGUG